rnacentral:rRNA from 1 species
UGCUUCCUACGGGGCGCAGCAGUGGGGAAUAUUGGGCAAUGGGCGCAAGCCUGACCCAGCAACGCCGCGUGAAGGAAGAAGGCUUUCGGGUUGUAAACUUCUUUUCUCAGGGACGAAGCAAGUGACGGUACCUGAGGAAUAAGCCACGGCUAACUACGUGCCAGCAGCCGCGGUAAUACGUAGGUGGCAAGCGUUAUCCGGAUUUACUGGGUGUAAAGUGCGUGUAGGCGGGAAAGCAAGCCAUAUGUGAAACCCAUGGGCUCAACCUUUGGCCUGCAUUUGAA